rnacentral:rRNA from 1 species
ACUCCUACGGGAGGCAGCAGUGAGGAAUAUUGGUCAAUGGGCGGGAGCCUGAACCAGCCAAGUCGCGUGAGGGAAGACGGUCCUAUGGAUUGUAAACCUCUUUAGGCGGGGAGCAAUGCCGGGCACGCGUGUCCGGAGGGAGAGUACCCGCAGAAUAAGCCACGGCUAACUACGUGCCAGCAGCCGCGGUAAUACGUAGGCGGCAAGCGUUGUCCGGAUUUACUGGGUGUAAAGGGCGUGCAGCCGGAGAGACAAGUCAGAUGUGAAAUCCUAUGGCUUAACCAUAGAACUGCAUUUGAAACUGU